rnacentral:tRNA from 1 species
AUUUCCAUAGUGUAGUGGUUAGCACAUCUGCUUUACACGCAGAAGGUCCUGGGUUCAUGCCCCAGUGGAGCCA